ACCUGUCGAGGGUGCCCUUCGUGGUGCCCGCGACAUCAGACACACAUCCGUGCCAUGGGAAGAACGUGGCACUUCAGGGCGUU
rnacentral:sRNA from 1 species